UGGUCUUGACAUCCACAGAACUUUCCAGAGAUGGAUUGGUGCCUUCGGGAACUGUGAGACAGGUGCUGCAUGGCUGUCGUCAGCUCGUGUUGUGAAAUGUUGGGUUAAGUCCCGCAACGAGCGCAACCCUUAUCCUUUGUUGCCAGCGGUCCGGCCGGGAACUCAAAGGAGACUGCCAGUGAUAAACUGGAGGAAGGUGGGGAUGACGUCAAGUCAUCAUGGCCCUUACGACCAGGGCUACACACGUGCUACAAUGGCGCAUACAAAGAGAAGCGACCUCGCGAGAGCAAGCGGACCUCAUAAAGUGCGUCGUAGUCCGGAUUGGAGUCUGCAACUCGACUCCAUGAAGUCGGAAUCGCUAGUAAUCGUGGAUCAGAAUGCCACGGUGAAUACGUUCCCGGGCCUUGUACACACCGCCCGUCACACCAUGGGAGUGGGUUGCAAAAGAAGUAGGUAGCUUAACCUUCGGGAGGGCGCUUACCACUUUGUGAUUCAUGACUGGGGUGAAGUCGUAACAAGGUAACCGUAGGGGAACCUGCGGUUGGAUCACCUCCUUACCUUAAAGAA
rnacentral:rRNA from 1 species